GUCUAGGAAAAGUGUGCCAAGAUGACUGGUUAUUUUUUAUUUCCUCCCAGGGUCAUGAAAGCUUCCUAGGGAGGCAUGUCCACCUCUCCACCGAGAUGGUGGCUGGUUUGCACACAUCGUCCUGUGGUACACAUGGGCCUGCGGUGCUGACUACGGAUGACCUGGACACUGGCUUGCUAGAGGAAAAACUCAUUAGCAGAUGGUGGCUGGACAUCAAGUCAAUCAUUGUCUUUGGAUUUAAUCAUACACAUCCUUCUGAUCCAGCUGAACUAAACCUACCUGUGAUACUUCAUUAUUGUGUUGGCACAACCUCAGCCACUGAGUUAUGAACAUAAGACGUUCAUGGACAAGUUCAAGCAUCAUUUUGUUAUCUUCGCUGAAGUGGAGGGAGGUGCUUGCUGAAUAUUUAUCGAAAACUUCACCACGCCUCCAGUGAAUAUGGGUUGAUCAUCGUGAACUACAGCUGGGUUACGUCCCCUCUGGCACUGGCAGAGUCCCGCUGAAGAGAGCCAUGCGUGCAGGGGAGGAAGGCAGAUUUUCCAAAUGGAGCCUGAAGAUGCAUCCCUAUUUCUCAGUUUCGUGACAAAUAUGCCUUGACCAGUUCACAAGACGGUCUGGAACAAUGGAGAUCAGACAGAACCUUCUGGAGAGGGAAACUGUUCAACAUGGACCUCCCUGACUGGAUCUGGGGCAGCCUCCUGUUUGGAUUCUUUCUCCUUCAUCAAGCUCUUAGUGGAAAGUGCUCAGCAAUGCAGAACCCCUCAUGAGCAUCCAUGGCGAAAACACUGCUGAUAUCUCGCUCUGGCUGAGGUUGUUGGAGAACAUUGUCCAGAAGCAGACUCCAAGAGAGAGGUCAGAGACAACCUGGGCAGUAGCAGCUGAAGACGGAAUCCCCCUAGGGAGACUCACAGUCUCUAAACCAA